GAUGAACGCUGGCGGCGUGCCUAAUACAUGCAAGUCGAGCGAACAGACGAGGAGCUUGCUCCUCUGACGUUAGCGGCGGACGGGUGAGUAACACGUGGAUAACCUACCUAUAAGACUGGGAUAACUUCGGGAAACCGGAGCUAAUACCGGAUAAUAUAUUGAACCGCAUGGUUCAAUAGUGAAAGACGGUUUUGCUGUCACUUAUAGAUGGAUCCGCGCCGCAUUAGCUAGUUGGUAAGGUAACGGCUUACCAAGGCAACGAUGCGUAGCCGACCUGAGAGGGUGAUCGGCAACAAGGGAAGUGAGACACGGUCCAGACUCCUACGGGAGGCAGCAGUAGGGAAUCUUACGCAAUGGGCGAAAGCCUGACGGAGCAACGCCGCGUGAGUGAUGAAGGUCUUCGGAUCGUAAAACUCUGUUAUUAGGGAAGAACAAAUGUGUAAGUAACUAUGCACGUCUUGACGGUACCUAAUCAGAAAGCCACGGCUAACUACGUG
rnacentral:rRNA from 1 species